UACAUACAUCCUCUGGAAUUCUCACAAGAGGCUUUAUGAGGGCCUACGUGUUAAACCUGGCACAACGCAGGCAGCAGCUGAGACUCAUUUGGAUCAUAGACUCUGUGACAGAAACAAGAGGGCCUGAAGACCAUACCCAGGACUGAAUUUGGUACCCAGUGUCCCAGCAUCUAAGACAUCAGGAGCCAGGAGAUAUCCCACGUUGGCAAGACCCCUUCAGUUCUCUCCAGCCUUUUCCUCCAACCCAGUGGUUCUCAAGAUGCGGACAUUGAACCCCAGAGGGUUGAAGCAACUUGCCUACAGUCAUACAAUUUAGAAGUGGCAGUCAAGAUGAAAAUUCAGAUCUGCCGGAUUCCAAAGCUAUGUUCUUUCUGUCCGUCCAUGGAAGUUCCCCAGGGUCUCUCACACCUACAUCAUCAGUCUGGGUCAGAUACGAAACCGAGGCCACGUGUCUAACUCCUCCCCGAUUACAAACCCAGUGCCAACAAGGCUGGGCAACAAAACACACACACAAAAAAACGCCUCCAAGCACAUGUUUCCCUAAAGCCCCAGCAUCCUUGUGAAAGAGGGCAAAAGGAGCAUCUCAAGAAGUAAGUUCAAAGUGCACGAGGGAAGAUGCCCCUUGAGAGGAAUUCUGGGAACCAGUAAUGACCAGCAUCCUGGGCCCACGGCGGGCUAGAAAGAGGUGUGAAGAAGGCUCAGCUUCCUGUGCCCACCCCAAUGGCCAAGGAUCCCAAGUCCAAAUCAGGAAUGUGCUCUGCCCCAGUUAAGGCUAAUGAGAAAAAGGCUCCUUCUCACACCAUUUCUCAGGAAACUAGCAAAAGGAUGGCAACUAAACUCUGAAGAUGGCUCUGGCUCAGUCUAGUUGGAAAAAGAUGCAUUUCAACAUGAGUUGGAAGCAGCAACAAAGGGGAGGCUCCUAGAUGAGCCGGAGGCCUGUCAGGGACACACUUCUGAGACGGAGCCAGCAGAGACAGACAGGUAUUAAGAAGGCCAGGGGAGGGAGGGGAGAAGAGGCAGGUAGAGCCACGCCUGUGUCCAGUAUGGGAGAGACCAUUCCAUUGCUUUUAGAAAUCAGUUCAGUGCAGUGCUGUUCUAAAAGAAUAAAUCCAAAAAGGCUUCUUUUAGGAGAAAAUUAAUGACUUUAAGGAGAACAGGAGAAAUUAAGCACCAAGACAACGCUGCCUACUUCUGACUUUCACCAGACAUUCAUUAUUUUUCCGGAAAUGAAAGUUGACUUUCUCCCUCCCCCUCCCAAAUUUGAAGCAUCCCUCAAGAACAGACAGUGAGCACAAGAUGCCCAAACCAAACUCUUGGUCGCCAGCCGCACCCCCAGGCCUCCUCACCUGGGAAACAUUUUCUACACAGUAAGGUCUGGAUUUCUUAAAAAUCCUCUUUCAGAGGGAGGGCUACUGGUUUAAUGGAAAGAGAACCAUAAACCUGAUUUUAGUCUCAGCUCUGUGGCUGCCUCACUAGAUGACCUUGGCAUAUAUAUGUGUGUGUGUAUAUAUAUAUAUAUACACACACACCCAUUCCAGGGCUUCAGUCACACACACACAAACACUCACACAAAUACACACACACCCCCAUCCAUUUGCGGGCAAAAAGGGGAUAGACAAGAUGAUUUCUAGGUCUCUUCCAAGUGAAAUACUAAAGAAUUUCAAGAAGGCUGCUGGAAAAAACAAACAUGAGUGGACCUUUAAAAAUAUCAUUAAUACUACUUGAAGUUAUCUGUUCUGACUUAAGUGAAACCAGAGCAAGUUGCCUGCAGCCUGCAAUAACCAAGGUGUUUGACCCAUGACACACAGCAUGACUUUGAAGAAAAACUAAACCGCUCCUGCCUCUGAUGCUCCUACAAACCCAUGCUCCUGCCCAGCCUGGCUCUUGAGAUCCAAGUGGACUGCUGACCACUCUACUGUGUUGGGGAGCCCCCUACUUCUUCCCACCUUGCCUUGUCCAGAAUAAUAAUACAACCUCCCUCAGCUACAUGAAGGCAGAAGUUAAACCUCUGAGCCUCAGUUGUUUUUUUCUGUAAAAUGGUGAUUAUAAAAAUGGUAAAAUGUCU
rnacentral:lncRNA from 1 species